AACGAACGCUGGCAGCAGGCUUAACACACGCAAGUCGAGCGCCCCGCAAGGGGAGCGGCAGACGGGUGAGUAACGCGUGGGAAUCUACCCAUCUCUACGGAAUAACGCAUGGAAACGUGUGCUAAUACCGUAUACGUCCUUCGGGAGAAAGAUUUAUCGGAGAUGGAUGAGCCCGCGUUGGAUUAGCUAGUUGGUGGGGUAAAGGCCUACCAAGGCGACGAUCCAUAGCUGGUCUGAGAGGAUGAUCAGCCACACUGGGACUGAGACACGGCCCAGACUCCUACGGGAGGCAGCAGUGGGGAAUAUUGGACAAUGGGCGCAAGCCUGAUCCAGCCAUGCCGCGUGAGUGAUGAUGGCCCUAGGGUUGUAAAGCUCUUUCACCGGUGAAGAUAAUGACGGUAACCGGAGAAGAAGCCCCGGCUAACUUCGUGCCAGCAGCCGCCGUAACAC
rnacentral:rRNA from 1 species